GUUUUUAACCGCAUGCUUAUUUGCGAGGUAUUUUAAAUGUAAUUAAAUUUCUUUAAAUAAGUUUUCGAAUUUAUAAGGAAUAAUAAAAAAUUAAAAUUACAGUCGCAUACACCGAAAAAUGGCUAGACACGUGUUCAUGGGCUACUAUUACUGUAACAGCAAUCAUAGUCAUAGCUCGAAGACAGAGAUGUACCAGUGCAAUCAAAUGGAAUCAGAAAAAGCGAAAUUUGAACAAGAAAAGGAACGAGAGCAAAUGAGAUAUGAACAGGAAAUGCAGAAAAUGAAAUUAGAAGCGGAAAGGAAGUAAGAAUUAACUUAUAUAGUUUCUGCAAAUAAAAUUAAAUUUUAAAAAAUAUUUCAUGAAUUGGAAUGAGCUUCGCCUUGGAUGAAAUGCCAAAAUAUGUUUAUAUUUCAGAGGCCAA